AGCAGUGCUCUAUUUGUCACCAACUGCCUUCUUCAUCGUAUUAUCAGUUCGCAAUCAUGGUUAAUGAUGGCGUCGUGGUGCUGUUGGGUGUUUUAUCGUUGAUGGCUGAGUUGACCACUUGUGUACCCAUGUCUCCUGGGUAUGGCGGAUACCAAACAACAACGCCACCGUCUUACUAUACAACAACAACAUAAGCAACAACCGGUUACAACACCACCAAGGCUCAAGAGUAUUACACCACGACUUAUGCUGCUCUGAAGUAUAACUCUGCCACGAGCUACAUCACCAAAAAGCUGGAGUACUACACCGAGGACCCUAAUUACUACAACACUUAAGCGCAACUACACUACAACCUCCGCUGCACCGAGCUACUACACCGACGCCCAAAAGUAUUACUCUGCGUAAAAGGAGUCGUCUAAAAAAAUAGAAGUCGUAUAAAAGGAGAGAGAAAAAGCGAUCAGUCGUGUGAUCGUCUCCGACACGGAAAUAACUGCUGUGCACUAUCUGUCACCAACUUCCUUCUUCACCGUAUUACCAGUUUGCAAUCAUUGUUAUCCGUAGUUAUCUAUGGCGUCGUGGUGCUGUUGGGUGUUCGUUGGUGUAUCGUUGAUGGCUGAGUUGUCCACUUGUGUAAUGAUGUCUCCUUGCUAUGGCGGAUACCAAACCGCAACGCCGCCGCCUAACUACACAAUAACAAGACACGCAACAUCUGGUUACUACACCACCAAGGUUCCAGAUUAUUGCACCAAAACUUAUGAUGCCCCGAGCUACUACACCGAGCGCCGAAGUAUAACUUUGCCUCGAGCUACAUUACCAAAGAGCCGGAGUACUACACCGAUGCUUCCAAGUACUACAACACUAAGACACCGGAAUACUACACCACUAAGUAUGAUUUCCUUGCCUAAUACUCCGAGGUCCCUAAUUACUACAGCACCGAAGCGCCUAAGUACUACUACUCUGCCCCGACCUACUAAACCGACUCCCCGAAGUUAUUAUCUGCGUAAAAGAAGUCGUAUAAAAUGAGAGAGAAAAUACGGUAGAAAUCAGUCAAGUGUGGAUCUCCGACACGACAACAAAUGCAUUGUACUAUCUUUCACCAACUGCAUUCCUUAACGUGUAUAACCAAUUCGCAAUCAUGGUUAACUAUGGCGUUGUGCUGCUGUUGAAUCGUUGGUGACUGGGUCGAUCAUGGGUGUGCUGAUUUUCCUGGAUAUGGUGGAUUUCAAACAACAGCAGCGAAAGAAUAGUACACCACGUUGCCGCCUUAAUACACAACGUCAACAUACGCAACACCUACUUACUACACUGAGUCUCCUAAGUACUACACCACCAAGGCUCCAGAGUACUACACGAAACCUUACGCUACCUUAAGCUACCACACCGAAGUAUUACUCUGCCCCGAGUUACAUCACCGAAGCGCCUGAGUAUUAUACUGAUGCUCCCACGUAUUACACUACAACCUACGCUGCUCUAGCUUACUAUACUGAUGCUCCGAAGUACUAUUCUGAUCAUAGCCACUACACCGAAGCUCCAGCUUAUUACACCACCAAAGCGGUCGAGUACGACACCGAAGCGUCCAAGUACACUGCAACCUACUGCAGCGCACUGUUUGUCAUCAACUGUCUUCUUCAUCGUAUGAAAUCAGUUCGCAAUCAUGGUUAACUAUGGCGUUGUUGGCGCUGUUUGGUAUUGUAUCAUUGAUGGCUGCGUUGUCCACGAGUGUACCGACGUCCCCUGGGUAUCGUGGAUAGUAAACCUCAACACCCUCGCCUUACUACACAACAACAACAUGCGCAACAACCGGUUACUACACCACCAAGGCUCCAGUGUAUUGAAGCAAAACUUAUGAUGCCCCGAGCUACUACACAGAGCCCCAAAGUAUAAGUCUGCCCUGAGUCAUUUUAUCAAAGAGUCGGAGUACUACACCAAAGCGCCCAAGUACUUCACUACAACCUACGCUGCUCCGAGCUUCUACACCGAAGCCCUGAAUUAUUACACUGCGUUAAAGGAGUCGUCUAAAAAAGUCGUAUAAAAGUAGAGAAAAGGAGGUAGAAAUCAGUCGAGUGAGGAUCUCCGACACGGCAACAACUGCAAUGGAUUACUUGUCACCAACUGGAUUGUUAAUCGUAUAACCAGUCCGCAAUCAUGGUAAACUAUAGCGUCGUGCUGCUGUUGGGUGUUGAUUGUUGAAUCAUUGAUGACUGGGUCGACCGCUGGUGUACCGAUGUCUCCUUGGCAUAGCGGAUACCAAAACUCAAUGCCUCUGCAGGGUACUAGUACACAACAACAACAACUUACGCAACGACUAGUUACUAGACAGAGGGCCCUAAGUACUACACCACUAAGGCACCGGAGUAUUAUACCACAAAUUACGCUGCCCUGAGCUACUACAUUGACGCCCUUAAGUAUUACUCUUCCCCGAACUACACCACCCCUUAGUACCCGAUUACUACACAACUUCGUAUGCUGCGCUGUCCCAUCCUACUACACAGAGGCUCCCAAGUACUACUCUGUUCUCAUCUGCUUACUACACCACUAAGGCACCGGAGUAUUAUACCACAAAUUACGCUGCCCCGAGCUACACCAACCUUAGCACCGGAGUACAACACGACUUCGUAUGCUGCGCUGUCCCAUCCUACUACACCGAGGCUCCCAAGUACUACUCGGUUAUCAGCUGCUUACUACACCAAUCCUAAGUACUACUUUGUUCCCAGCUACAACAUUGAAGCUCCAACUUAUUACACCACUGAAGUGGUCAACUACUACACCAAAGCGCCAAGUACUACACUGCAACCUACGCUGCCCCAGGUUACACCACGAAGGCACCGGAAUACUACAUCAUAACGUGCCUCAGCCUAAUACACCCGAUCUACACAACCACAUCUGAGGCGUCAAAGUAUUACUACACAGCGCCUUCAAUUUUAUAGUAAGGUGACAGCA